UACGAAGGGGGCCAGCGUUGUUCGGAAUCACUGGGCGUAAAGGGCGCGUAGGCGGCCGCUCAAGUCGGGGGUGAAAGCCUGUGGCUUAACCACAGAAUUGCCUUCGAUACUGUUUGGCUUGAGACCGGAAGAGGUGAGUGGAACUGCGAGUGUAGAGGUGAAAUUCGUAGAUAUUCGCAAGAACACCAGUGGCGAAGGCGGCUCACUGGUCCGGUUCUGACGCUGAGGCGCGAAAGCGUGGGGAGCAAACAGG
rnacentral:rRNA from 1 species